rnacentral:rRNA from 1 species
GUAGUCUCGCACAGAUGCAUAUCAAUAAGCGGAGGAAAAGAAACUAACAAGGAUUCCCUUAGUAACGGCGAGUGAAGCGGGAAGAGCUCAAAUUUGAAAUCUUCAAGGUUUUACCUUGACGAAUUGUAGUUUAAAGAAGUGUUUUCUGUUGAAGUUUUGGUAAAAGUUCUUUGGAAUAGGACAUCAUAGAGGGUGAGAAUCCCGUAUUUGACCAUUAUUUUCAGCUGUGUGAUACACUUUCAAAGAGUCGGAUUGUUUGGGAAUGCAGUCCAAAAUGGGUGGUAAAUUUCAUCUAAAGCUAAAUAUUGGCGAGAGACCGAUAGCGAACAAGUACCGUGAGGGAAAGAUGAAAAGAACUUUGAAAAGAGAGUUAAACAGUACGUGAAAUUGUCAAAAGGGAAGCGUUUGACACCAGUGUUGUUUUCUCGAAAAUCAAUUAAAAAGAGUUAGAUUUUGUUGUGUAUUGACCUUAACAGCUUGCAUUUCAAUUUUCUUGCUUUUUUUAAUGCACUUUUCGUUUAACAAGUCAACAUCAGUUUCUUUUGUUGUAAAAAGGUCAUUGGAAGGUGGCUUUCUUUUCGGAGAAAGUGUUUAUAGCCUUUGACUCCUGCAAUCGGAGAGACUGAGGUCUGCAGCGUAGAUCCUUCGGGGUUAGAUACAUUUGUGCUAAGUUAUAGCUUUUUAUAGACAACUUGUUGACUAUGAUUAGUCUUGUAGCUUACUCGCUUAUGCUAUUUUACCUACGCUUAGGAUGUUGAUGUGAUACUGCGAGCA